rnacentral:lncRNA from 1 species
GGAGAGAGAGAGAGAGAGAGAGGUAUAAACCACAAGAGGGACAGAGACCAGCAAGAGGAACCCACCAUUUUUCUCUCUUUAUAUCUCUCUGUAUCCUUUCUCUCUCCACACGGCAACCCUUUUCAACUUGUGCUUGUGAUGUGUUAUUGCAGGAGAAGAGGGGAGAGAGAGAGAGAGAGGGAGGGAGGGAGAGGGAGAGGGAGAACCUUGAAUAGGGAAAACAAGAGGGCUGAGCAGAUUGGAGAUUUAUAGAGAGAGGAGAGAGAGAGUUUUGGAGGGUGUGAACUGACUAGGGAGGUGAAGUGUAAGGUCCAACUUGGGGGAAAGGGAAUGAUAUGGUCUGAAUACCCAAAAAUCACUUUUUUUGCAAACCUCUCUUUCUGCAUUUUAUUGAUCUGGAGUAUAUUACAUGUCCAUGUUUGACUAUACUUUAGCUUAGAAGCCGGCCUACCCGUGCAUGACCAAAUCACAAGAUAAUUUUUUCUUUAUUCUUGUGAUUGCUUGGUUAAGUGUCCCUCUCGAUCCCUCCAAAACAAUUGGGAGGGGCAGCAUCUAACUUGCUUUUCUUCUCGUUUCCGCCUACUAGAAGAAAAGGGAAAUCAGGAUUACUUUCUCUCCUUUGACCACGUACCUCACGAUGAAAGGCAUUUUUAGUCGGCGUGUAUAUUGUAAUAGAUGGAAUCAAUCGCGUUUGUGAAAACUUUUCUUGAUGGGCCACUUGUUAUCAUCGCUAUUUGGUUGGUUUGAUUAUAAAUUCUCACCAAUAAUGGGUGCUAAGGCCCAACGAGACAAUCAUGUUGUCGAGUUGCUAGAGGGUUGCAUUGAAUGUGUAUUUUCGUUAUACCUAGACCUUAGACCUUCAUGAUUGCAAUAUACUCACCGACUACAUUAUAUCCAAUGGCUUAGACUUGCCUAAGGACCAUGUAAUGCAUGCUUGCGCGCAUCACUCUGUGCAUCCACUACGUCUAAAUUGCUAAUUCUUGGGGGCAUCAAUCUGGUUCCUUAUUUCAAAAAAUUAAACUUGAUGAUUUUUGAUCUAGUUCCCGAUUUCAUGGGUGGAACUGUUCAUUUGGAUUGGAUUGAUUAUUUUAAAAUUUCUUAAAAAAUUAUAAAAACUAAUGGAAAGUUUAUGCUCAGAAGGAAAAAUAAACUUUAAAGAAGAUUAAGAAAUAAUGUGCUCGAAAGAAGGUGCAACUUCAAACUAGUAAUUUAGUCAAAAGCACUCAAGGCUUGUUAAUACAAGGAAAAAGGAAACACUUUUGCACUGUACCCCUUAAUUUUGUUUUGGCGUCACACUUAACCCCCUAAAUGGAAAGCAAAUAAUUGAUUGACCUACUAUUUGUGUAAGGGGUAAAAUAUGAUUUAACGAGAGAUUAUAAUACAAGAACACGCCAUCGGUUCUAUUGACCCACUCGGGAAUCGAAUUAGACUGGUUGGUCAGGUUCCGAGGGGCACUAGUUUGAUUCCCAAUUUCAAAAAUUGGAGAUCGGCUCUUCUGGUUUGUUUCUUGAUUUAUGGUUAGGGACUGGACUGCCCGAGAAUCAAUUUACCUCUAUAUGCACUUGUGUUUACAUUGUCUCCUUAGACCAAAUCUUUUAGGUCAAAAUCAUGUGUAUAAACAUAUAUUCCUCUUCAACUGCCUUUUAGGUGUCCGGAUCCCUUAAAAGUAUUUAUAAUCCGAUCACCGCAUCGUGUGCACGUCGUUCUGCUAAAAAAACCUAAUCGAUAAGCAUGAUCGGGGACCCCUUUCUGCGCAUGUCAUCGGCUCCCCAUGCCCGGCAAAUUAAUUGAGUCAAGAACUGAAAUGCAACCGAGGAAGAGGAAUCUAUUCCUUCUAAACACCAAGAACACGCGUAACAAGCGAUCCUCAGAAGGCGAUGCUUGACUUAUCGAGGAGGGAAUUCAGCUUAGGUUUGCAAAAAAAAAAGAGAGACGCACAGCACACGAUGAAGCGCAACUUUUCUCUGCACGCACCAGCGACCGUACGAUGACGAUAGAAGUUUCCCGAUCGUGGGCGUGCUUCGUAUCCGGAAACGGAUCGUUUUAAAGGUAGAUUCGAGCCCUAUGGGGUAGUGGGUCUUUGCAUAUUUGGCUGAAAACAACUCCUAAUUCUCACUUUCAUUCCUUCUCUUCUUUUUAAUAUUUUGUCGUAUCUUUUUCGUGGGGGACUAGAGGGUUCUGAUAAGAGGGUCAACCCGUGGGCUUUUUGACGGGCGUACCUACCCAUCUUCCACCACUGCUGCUACCAUGGACGGCACAUGCGGACCGUUUUAGGUUUCGGUGGGGGUGGCGCAAAAGUUGAUGCGCCGAGACCUGGGUCGUGAGCCUCUUUUUAACUACUCUUUCCCGUGGUUAAGCAAUUUCUCAUUGACUUGGGCGAGUUCGGGUUCGUGAACCUGCCAUUUCGACGGCUCGGGAAGGCCGGUCCCCAUCUAGAAAGCGUCCUAUACAUUGAACCUACGGAAUCAAAGCAAAAACAAGCGUCGAGACUUGAGUCAGAGGACCCGACAUGUUGACUUGGAGUCAUGAAAAAGCCGAGACCCCGUGGAACAUGCCUAACGCCGCAUGCACGAGUGCCAAUCCCUGGCGAGUCUUUCUUCCUUGUCACGAUCGAUUGAUCAUUAAAGAUUGAUGCAAUGCUUUCGGUCAGGGCUUUUGAUGCUGUUCAAGUCUGCUUCUUUCUUCCUUGUCCUUCUUCUUCUGAUUUGUUGCUUUUGUGGGUCAAGUACGUUUUCCUUGGGGACAUCGUGAAUCAUGGGACUUCAUGACUUGCAGUCCCAACAUGUGAACCACCACGCACUUGCACUGUCUCGUGGAUCGGGUCGUAGGGAACGCUACAGCUAAGAUCGGCAGUUGCGGGGAUCGAGUCGAUGAAGUCAGCUAUUUCAUUCGGCCAAUAGUCUCCCAAAACAAGGAAAAUACUAGACAAAACAUAGGCAUUUAAUGCUCCCCUCCUUAUGUUAUUUCCUCCCCUUACAUUAUAUUAUAAUAUAUUAUAUUAUAUUAUAUCAGGUGUAUCUUGUUCAUUAUUAUAUAAGUCACGGGGUGGGUUAGACAGCUAUUUCCAAUCCUCCGUGCGUCUUCCACCAGAAGCAAAGUCUUAAGUAAUUUCCGUUCAUCUCGCGUAACAUCAGUAGUUGUACCAAAUAUUUUUUGUGAAAUAAUUACUUCUAUCACUUGAAAAAAAUUGAUUGAUGAAAAGUACCUUCAUCAUUAGCAACUACUUACGCAUAAACAUUUUAAUGCUGAAGAUGAAAUUUUUUUUGCGUUAACUCGUUUUUGUAAGUGAUCAUGCGAUUACUUAAAGGAAAAAUUUAUUCAAAUCGUUAAUUACUCACGAAACAAGCACAUUAAUACUAAGGCAAGGUCAAAGGUUUGAGACUUUUCCUUACUCAUUUUUUUCAGCAUCGAUGGAAAAAAAAUUGCUUUUAAAGAUUCGAGAUGGGUCUAUGAUGACAACUUAUGAUAAAUAUAAGGAAAAAGAAAGGGGAAAGGACAGAUUAAGUGCAGACAGGAUGAAAUUAAUGCAUUAAAUUUCCCUACAUGGACCCCGAUUUUCUUUUUCUCCUAAGCUAAUUAGCACGACAUCAACGAUAAAUUAGAAGUCAACGAAGGUAUUCACACCAACUCGAUAACAGUGCAUCACACAUGCCCCAUUCGCCAUUACCUGGUCCGUCAUCUACAUAGAAAAACCUCUCACAUCCCUUUCGAAUUUAUGCACAUCAUCAUAUGCGUCACAGAACCUUGGACACACCUAAGAGAAAAAUAUAAAGUAUGAAUAAACGUCGUUUCAACGAGAUGCUUCAUCGAGUAGAAAGAUCUUGGAGCUUCUCUUAGGUUUUUUUUUUUGCCUUUUUUAUAUUGAUUUUGGGCACUAUCAGGAGCUCAAUCGUGCACCGUCUAACAACAGAACAAAUGCUGGUAGCUUUUAGAACAAGAACAGAGAAGACAAAGUUAGGUGCAUUUCGGGCUCAGGACCGAGGAUUUAUUUGGCUUUUAAAUCGGCUUUGAUGUCUAGGUUUUGUUUAAUAAUUCUCGCCUAAUACUUAUUAGCUAGAAGUCAGACAUUUUGGAAAGUUUGCACUCGACAAACUUAGCUCGUUGCAAAAUAAAUCAACUUAAAAAUGGGGAUCGGUGCAUCAAUAUUGAUUCAAUCUGAUUCAAGUGUUCCUGGGAGUACCCUGAGAAAUGUACCUUUCCUUCCACUACUGAACUAUUUUCACUACUAAGAGCAGCAACAAUGAGAAGGAAAAUGAUUCGACAGAGAAACUCUUGACAGCCAAGCUCCUUUAAGAGGUUAUCACGAAGAUCUCGCACCCGUUAAGUAAAGUUCGAUAUGAACCAUAAUUGCUCAAUUCACUCACAACAUGACAGUUCAGAAGGCAACAAGAUUGCUACUAUAGUCUUCAUGCCUAUCGACACAUCCGAAAUCAAGAAAUCUCUCUGCACAAACCAUGAUCUGAGAUAUAAGUCGGCUAAAGGUUUGUUCGCAAGAAGAUUGGACGUUACAACCUUGUCGAAGAUAUGCGAUUUUCUUUAGUCAUUAAGCCAUUCCACUUGAGGUCUUUUUCAGUUUUCACAUUUUUGGCAUUUUGCGACUUACCCUUUUUCGGGUGGAACGUGAAUGGGAGAGAAAAUGAUAGACGCUUUUAUUAGACCCUUCAAGCGUGUGAUUCUACGAUUCCUCCUCCUCCUCCUCCUCCUCCUCCUCCAACACCUAACAAUUAUUGCUGAUCUUUUCUCGACAAAACUGGCUUGCUGAUCUUUUCUCGACAAAACUGGCUUUCAUCGCCGUUAGAUGCGUUAGUUCGUGAAGUAGUGAAUGGUUACGCUCGUCCCUUUUUCCCCUCCGGAAGCCACCACCGGGCCUCAUCGGCCCUAGGCGCGGGCGUCCCUCAACUCAGAGGGUGGCUCUCGCCUAAGGUCUGCAGAAGAAAAAAGGGAAGAAAGAAAAAGAAAAAAAAAAUCAUAAAAUUAAAAAAAUUAUUUACAUUAGUAUCAGUCAUGCCAUGUGAGAUUGUUGACGUCGACUAGACUGUUACAUCAACGAUUUCUGAUUAAAAUUAAUCAAAAAAACUGAAAUGAUAAAUCUUUAUAAAAUUUAGGAUUAAAUUGAUUAAAUUAAUAAUUUAUCAAAAUAUUUAAAAUAAAUUAAUAUAACCAAAAAAUUUAAGGUUGAAUUGAUUAUUUCUUAGUUUGCGCAAAACUGAAAAAGUAGCGCAUCCCAAUUUCGUACUAUUCUUGUUUGAUGUAAUGAGUGCUUAAAAAGUACUUGUCAGAAUUUUCUAUUGGUUGAUGUACUUUUAUAUUACCUAAUUUUGAAAUGAAUUAGGAGGAGACUUUUGAUGAGAACACUACUUUUGCUUGUCUUAACAAUGAGAUAUCAGAAAAUAUCAAAGCCUCAUUUAAUACGCUGGGCCUCCACAGCUCGCAUGAUACACGGGAUAUGACAAAAGGACACGCAAAAAAAAAAAAAAAAAAAAAAGAGGAAGAAAGAAGAAAGAAGAAAGAAGAAGAAGCUCAAAGCCAAUGGUCAACUCCCUUCAAGAAUGACGCUUUUAUGAGGGCCUCCACAGCUAGCUUGCUAGAUAUCUUGGGAUGGUGGGUCCCAUGAAUGUAUUUUUUAUUUUGACAUAAUUCCUCCCGUAUAUUUGUCUUCCCCAAGACAAGAGAAUACUCUCUUGAUGUUGUACAUUCCAGAGAAUUCAAAGUUAAAAUUGGACCAAGAUGAAAUCUUUUAAGGACUUGCUUAUGUCUUCUAGCCUUAAUAAUGAGAUAUUUUAGAAUAUCAAGCUUCAAUUUAAUUUUGUGGGGCCUCCAUAGCUUGCAUGAUGCACAAGAUAUGACUCAAAAUGAUAGAAGAAGGAGGAAGAAGAAGGAAGAAGAAGCUCAAAGCCAAUGGUCAACUCCCUUCAAGAGUGUGGCUUUUUGAGGAGAAAUUGCCAAAAAAAUCCUAAAUAUAUUAUAUUUGUGUCGAUUGAGUCAUAAAUCUUAUAAUUUGAUCAAUUGAAUUUUAAAUCUUUUGACGAUUUAUUGAUGUAGUCCAUUUCCAAAAAUUACUGAUGUGGAUAACAACUGUUUUAUAUGAUACGCCAUAUACUAAUAUUGGCAUUUUUUUUUAUAGUUUUGAAAUAAUUUUUAAUUUUUUUUUUCUUUCCUUUUCUUUUUGCUACAAUGGCUAGCGACCGGCCAUUGGACUCUUGCCUGGCCAGAUCUAGCGAGAGGACCUUGGUAGGCCCUUGGCCUUGCCCAAGCGAGGCCACCCUCACUGGUCAUUAUUCGUGGCUAGUGGUAGGCGACUGGUUGUUGGCAAAAAGAAAAGAAAAAAAUUUAAAAAUUUUCGAAAAAAUUUUCUACCCUAAUGCUAGUUAUGUCAUGUAAGAUGGUUGGUAUUCAUGUUAGCGAUUUUUUGUCAAAAUAUACCGAAUGAACUUCAUUGAAAAAUUAUCAUCAAAAAAAUUUAUGAUUAAAUCGGCACAAAUGUAAUUUAGGCUUUUCUUCGUAAUUUCCCCAACUUUUGGAGGAGCCCUUGUGUCCAUUGAGCCAAUCCAAUACUCCAAGCUCCUCAAAACAGUAGUCUUAUCCAAUUUGAUAGAAUAGGGGUAAGUGGGAUUAUACAUACAUAAAUAGUUCUAUAUGUAGUCUUAUAUUAGCCCUUUUUCAUCUUAUCCAUAUAGUGUCAUAUAGACUCGACAUUUAGUGUACAAUAAUACUACUGAUAAUGCUCUCCUGUUUUGCAGUUUUGUAUAUUUGGUCACGUGUGGCAGACCCUUGUUAAACACGUUUCAAUAAGACGGAUGCAUAAGUUGAUGAUCCUAAAUCGAAAUCGACCGGUUAUAACCAGAAGGUCAAACAUAGAUGCAGCAUCUGUUCCGAACUUCAGUUACGCACGAUUGUGUCAAUUGAUCUCCGGUUAGCAUUUGUUCCUGUCUUCGGCUUUUGGCUGGAUCUACAAGAUAUUAUCUUCACCUAACUUUGACUUAUUAUAAAGAAUAUCAAAAGUUCGGAGUAUGACCCACACCAAAAUAAUCGAUAAUAGUCUCGAAUUUCUAGAUACGAAUUGACACGGAUUCACAUAAUAAUCAGUUUCGUUUGGCCAUUUACCAAAUCAUUUUGAUGGGUGAGUCUGUCAUGCCAAUGAGGCAUGGUACGCCUUGACGUUUUACAGUCGGAUCGAAAAGUGAUAAAUAUCACAAUCGUCCGAGGCUGAGAUCCUUUACAUUUACUCCGCGGUGAAAGAUUAUAAAGGCAUGAUAGCUCUUGGGGAUCAUAGAAUUAUUUCAUUUUGUUGGUCUGCACUGCACGGUAAAUCUUCCGCACUCCAUAUUUUCAGGAAAAUUAUCAAUUUUUUUAAAUCUAUUCAAUUUGUAUCAAUUUAGUUAUAAACCUUUCAAUUAUACCAAUUGAAUUUUAAACAUUUUAAAAAUUUAUCAAUAUAGUCCAUUAUAAUCCAUUAGGUCAGGUUUAGUUGGAAAUCACUAACGUGAAUGAUGACCCGUAUAAUGUGGCGCCAUUUGCGCUAAUGUGGAUAAUCUUUACAAAUUUUUAACAUUUUUCAGUUUUUUAUUUUAUUUUUUUCUUUCUUUUCUUUCUUUCUUUUUUUUCUUUUUUAAUAACUUUGGGUCAAUGAGUUCAUUGGUGGACCCUUAUCGGCCAUAGGCAAGGUCUCGGCAAGGACCUCCGCACCUCGGGCAACGGGCGAGGGCCUCCACACCCUUGCCAAGCACAAGUAAGGGUGUUGAGCCCUCACCUAGAUCUAGCAAAGGGCCAUGACCCUCGCCUAUUGCCCUCAAUGCUCCCUAUUGGAUUUGGGGGAGAACCUAACACCCCUGCUUGUUGUCCUCGUAGCCCUUUGCUAGAUUUGGCCGAGGGCUCGACACCCUCGCUUGUGGCCAACAAGGGCCCGGCUGACUGGCUAUGGCCAAUGGGGGAGUUGGGAAAGAACAAAGAAAGCAAAGGAAAGAAAAGAAGAAACCAAAAAUUAGUAAAAAUUUAUAAAAGUAAAAAGAAAUUAUAAAGAUUGUCUACGUCAGCCCUAGUCAUGCCACGUAGGGCAACUAAUGUCCAUGUUAGCAAUUUUCGAUUAAAAUUGGUUGGAUAGACUAAAUUAGCAAAUCGUCAAAAGUUUUAGAACUAAACCAGCAUAAUUAAAAGGUUUAGAGUUGAAUAGACACAAACGCAUUAGGUUUGAGAUUUUUUUGGUAGUUUUUCCCCAUAUUUUCAAUCAUAAAUGAUUUCACAAACUUUGAAUCUCGCUUUUUAGAGAAUUUACUUUAAGCUAAAUUAGUCUUUCUUCAGGCAAAUAUAUCUAUGCAUGUAUCGUUGCCAUUAAGCUGACUUUUCUAAUUAUUUGGUCCGGUGAUGCUAGUCCAGCUUGGCGAACUUAUCAACUUAUAUAGAAUUUAUUUGGGAUAAGUCUUUGGAUUCUACCCCCAUUAUCUUUUCUUUGUUUUCUAAAUGAUGAUCCCACAUUUUUUGUUCUCACAUGCCAUAACAUUUACAGAUGCUGUCUCUUAUAAUCUCAUGGGGCGAUGCAAGCAGAUGAAUUCAGGAGGCAAAGAACUUCAGGAAAAAAGCCAAGACGAUAACGCCUUAAGAAGUGCGAGCAUGUGCUUAAGUGAGCUCCGAUAUGGUGUGUGGCGAGCCAACGGCGAUGCCGGCGGGCGUGAGAUGAUCACGUGAACUUGACCGGACAUUGUCGCGUCUGAAUCUUUGAAAAAAAAUGCUCCAUUCCUAAUUGUUUAUGCGUUCACGUCUCGCAACCAUGUCGCAAAACCGAUGCAGUAGACGACUGCCCGCUCUUACCAAACUCUCUGGCGUACAUCAAGCUCCAGUCCGGACUUUGCCAUCUGGGGAAGCAAAGAAGCGAAGACGGGAGUAAUAUGCUCAGGCAGGCUGACCGCGGAGAUGAUGUUUAGGUCAACCCAGUUACCAGAAAUUUAGGGUUGUUCGACAUGUGACAGAAAGAGGGAGAGUUCCUAACAAACACAUGUAUUCUUGAUUUUAGUAUUCGAAAAAAAUUACUUCAUUUCAAGCGCAGACAUCACCAAAAUCUUCUGAUCUGUAAUCUAUUUAGUUAAUAGAGAAUUAGCUUUCAGGCAUUCUUGGAGGUCAUAGCUCUCUGGCCAGUCACCCCUUUCCAUUUCAUGAGUAAAAGAGGACGGGAAUGAGCGAUCGGCACUAAGAAGACCACCUUCGGACGUUACCAUAAAGGGUUUCACAUCCGUCGUGGAACGUUCAAUCUGAGCCGAUCAUUUGGCAUCAUACGGCAUUAGUUCAAGAAUUCAAUUAUACCAAAUGAAGUCGAGUUUGCAAAUCCUUUCCGGGCAUAAUAAGUCACAAGUAAUGAAUGUUGUGCAUCACGAUUUCAAUAAUAAGGGUGGAUGUAUUCAUUAGCAGAUGGACAGGAGCAUCAAAGUCAAUGGUCGAACGGAUGAGCUUGCAAGUAUCUGCUCCAUAUCGCAUUUGUCUCCUGAAGGCGACUUAAAUUUCAAGUGACAAAAUAACCAUUGACUUUCAUGGUCUGUUGAUCUGUGUCAUUUUAAUACCUUAGAUUUUGGCUGAUGGUCCCCCAACGCCCUCACGAAAAUACGCUGGUCUACAGUAGAGUAGGGAGAAAAACGUGGAAGCAUAUGGAGAUCUUUGACUUAGAAAAGAAAGGAUAAGAGCAUGACGUUUUCGGUUCAAAUGCAACUCCCUUUUUUUUCGAUACGUCUCCUAUUUUGUCGGGAGAUGGAUGGAGGGUCACAUGCAUCAUUAGAAAAAAAAAAUUGAGAUUCCGGUGGUCGUCCGUCGAUUGAAAAAUAAGGGUAUUUAGGAGCAAUCAUAGAUGUUAGCGUGUUGCACUCAGCUGUAUAUUAGCUAAAUAAUGUAUUUUGAGAGUAAGUUGGAUUAGAGAUAAUGCGUUAUUAAGGUAUAUAAUUCAUUCCCUAAUGCAUACUUGGCCAAUAUUUCCCUAAUUUUUAAGAGGUUAGGUAGCAACGUUGUUGCACGUACUUAGCAAUAAUCACCUGAAUAUAUUACUGCCCGCAUGCCUAAGGCAGAUGAGAGACUCAGUCAGGACGAGGACUUUUUUUGGCUGAUGCUAUGGGAAGAAUUGAAAUCGAUGAGAUGCCUCGACAGCAAAACUAUCAAGUGCAAUAGGAGUUGGCAUUUCGGCUUUCUCGUGCGAAACUAUUGGCGGGAGAUUAUGAACUUAGUGGGAGAACGACGAUGCAUACGCAAGGAAUGUUGCAAACACUUCCUUGCAAAAACGUGUGCAAGAGAGGUGAACUGAGAUGUUCGGCCCCACUACAGCGAAACUAAUUGCGCGGACCGGAACAUGGUAUUAGUCAUGCGAACAAUUUUCUUCUUCUCUUUUCGGGUUUUGCCAGAAAUGGAAAGCCGUGAAGUUUGGUUUGAUGCACAUCACAUCUUGAAUUGAGUCCUGAAGUAACUUGAGCCUUGAGCAAUUCCCUAUUCUGCUUUGAUUGUGCAGAAACAAAAUUUUCAACGAGUUUGCUGAAACUUGCAAGUUUCUUUUCUCACCUCUGGCCUUGAUAAACAUCUGUACCUAAUUUUCUGAUAUGCUUUUUCCUCAUCAAUAGCGGUCUUGUUCAACCAUUUCAUGCUGAACCAAAGAAAGGCGUACUUAUUCAGGUAACCUGUAGCCCUUUCGCAAGCUGCUUUUUUCCUGAGAAGACUACAGUUAAAAGAUUAGUAGUAUCAUUCAGUGGAAGAAAAGGAAGAACCUCGAGUUACUUUCGGUGAAAGAGGAGAAUAAUCAACUUCCAUAACUUUCGUGCGUUGCAUUUAGACGCUCAGAGGAAGGUUACAUCUGAUGGCGACGUUGUUUUGGAAUCAUGAGGACUUCAGGAGCAAACUUUAUCAGAUCAGGAAUUAUUCAUCUGGGGAGGAUUUAUGGCCACGAUCGAAAUUGGCAUGUUGGCUUGGAGGUAUCUUUUAUGUUUGUCUCUGAGAUUACACUUCGUUCAGGGCAAAAGGAAGAAUAAAAAGGAAAAAGAAGAUAUAUUCUCUAAUCCUGUGGCAGUCGUUGCGCUAUCUCAAAAACCGCGAGUUUGCAUUUCAAAUGUUCUAGUCAGUGAACAGGGCGAUCUUAUCCGAUGAUUAAAGCGGAUAGAAUUUUCUCUUGUUGCCGUGUGCAAGAAACAAAGGGCGCCCGUUUGUUUGUGUUUUUUUUUUUUUUGUUUAUAAACACAAUUCCUAUUUUUUUUUGUUUCGAGGAACAAAAAAUGAACAGAAACGCGUUUGUUUGCGUUUUUGUUCCAAAUAUAUUUUUUUGUUUAGGGGAACAAAUUCGGAACAGAAACAAGAAACAAGAAAAACUUGUUUUUUGUUUCUAAAAACUUGUAAGAAAUAAUUUUUCUCUCUCCUAUUUUUUUCUUUUCUUAUUCUUUUUUCUUUGGCCGGUCGCUGGCCUCGGCCAUGGCCGGCGAUUGACCGUCGAGGGUCAGCGACCUCGCUAGAGCGUCGCUAGCCCCUGGUGAGGCUCAACCUCACCUUGGCUGGGCAAGCUCGACCUCGCUGGGGGCCGGCAAGCCUCGCCGUGGCUAGGCGAGGCCACCGGCCCUUGUCAGCCGGUUGCCGGCCAUGGCUGAGGUCGGCGACCGGCUAAAAGAAAGAAAAAAAAAAGAACAUAAAUUUACCAAAUAUGUUUCUGUUCUUUUUUUUAUUCUAAAAACAAGUUUACCAAACGCGUUCUUCUAGUCAAAAAUUGUUCCUCGGAACAGAAAUUGUUUUUCUAUUUCUAUUCCCUAUAACAAUUUUUAAACAUAAACAUUAGCAAACGCACCCAAAGUUUCGGCUUUUGAGUUUAUUUGGCAAUGAGAUAUGCAUUACUUGUCUAAACACGCAGCUUCUUGAUAUCACACAUUCUGAUGGAAUGUAAUUCUGCAUCGAACGAUUUUAUUAACUCGUUGUACAAGUUGCCUUUUAACUUAGAUAAUCUUCUAAUGGGUUCAGCGGAAAUCACAAAGAUAGACCGGAGAAAGCUUUUUAACCUCGAAGUGUAUGUGAGAGAACAUGAAUUGGAUUUUCCUUUGAUCGACACAGAAGCAGUCACUAUUAUCAGUGUCGCGGUUGCAUAAAAUGCGCCAAUUGCUCGGCAAUGAAUGAAAUUCAUUAGACUUUUUAGCCUUAUGUGGUUGGACAAUGAAGCCUGGUUGUCUUGGUUCAUCCAUGUGGUUCUCUUUUUGUUCUUGUUCUCUUUUGCUUCACUGUCCACAGAGACAGGACAGGCUAGUGAAGCCCUCAGGCCACACGGCAUCGUUCACUUGGUUUUACUGAGUCAAUAGCCCCUGAGCUCAAGGGCACGAAUACCGAAAAAAGAAGAAAAAAGAAGAAGAAGAAGCUCUUUUUGUUUGCAAAUGUAUGUGGCAGGACAUGACUCGAGUCGGAUCUCUCUCGAGAUUGGGGACGACAUGUUUUUUUUUGUACUUCCAGAAGCAUGUGGGCGAGAAGUGCUUGGGCCAUCCCGGUGAGAAUCCCCUAUUCCCCAGGGCCAGAAUCCAUUAGAAGCCCAGCAGAACUGAAAGGGCAUGCACUGAGGGAAAAAAAAAGAAAAAAAAAAGAGGCGGUUCAACUGUGAAUGAUACAGUAGGAGAAACAGCCAACAAAUGAAAAGAUGACGGUAAAUUCGAGCAUCAAAAUUGCGACGAACUUGUAAGAGAUUGUGCCAACAAAGGCAUGAGGUGGAGACAAUCCAAGUUGUAGUUAACUAUUUGCAUAAUUUAGUUAUCAAUUUUUUCCAAUGAUAAACCUAUAUAGAUAUGCUUCACAAUAGUUCCGUUUUGAAAAAUUUCUACAGAUCCCAAGGUUUUUUGCGACUCUUAUUAGGAACCCUUUCCUUCAAUAUGAUAAACCAAAUGCCUUGGCAAUCUUCUCACUGUAUAGAAACAGAGAAUCCCCUUUUUCCUCUUCUUCUACUUUGAGCAAAAUCAGGUUCAUGUUAGCCAUGUGCCCUGAUGAUCUCAGCCUCCUGAGAGAUCUUACCUGCCAUCGCUCUGAUUUCUUCAUGCAUUUGGCGGGAACCAUCUCUAACAAAGAAUUCAAAAACUUAAGCAUCAACUGCAAGAACCGGAGCUUUCUCUAUGCCUGUUAAACUUCAUUUCCAGCCCUACAUUGCUUACUCUUUCCUGGCUUUCGAUGUCGAGGUAGACAUUAGGCAAGAGGACGGGUAACCACCACGAUUCUUUGCUUCGAGAUCCAGCAACUUUCCCGAGGUAAUUCUGUCUCCGUUGGCAAUUUGGCUUGUUGUUGAUGAGAUUUGAGGCUUCAUUUGAUGGCCAGCUUGGCCCAACAUAUCAACCAUGACCUCCAGCGCCCGAGCUUGGGGCAGAUUCCAUAUGAGGCGACUCAGAGAUCAGGUCAAAAUGCUUCCGCCCUCCCUCAACCAGUCCAACAGCACUGAAACCUCUCAAUACCAAAGCGAAGGUUGCUUUGCUCGGGAUAUCCGCGUCUUUCUCCUUGAGCAAGAAAAGGUGGAGAUGCGCCCUACCUGCUCCAUCCAUGGCUAAUCCAUUCUCGGCACCUACUCCACAUGUACAUUUUCUUUCAUCCCGUAGGAGACCUCCAUGGCCUUUAUCCGUAACCCUGCCUUUUGCAAACGUUUAAAUCCCAAGCAUCACCGUAAACCUUAUCCAACUGAGUAGACACGGGGAAAAACUGAAAUGAUCGAAGACUUGGUUGACUUUCGCACCUUCCGUUUGCUGUUCGGGGAACAAAUCCGAGGCCUGCUUUGACUCCCAACACUGGGUGUACCCAGCAAUCGUUGCAAUGGGUAUGUCUCUCAGGCAUUUCACUGAGCUUCGUCAAGGCGACAUCACGCCAUUUCACGCAAAAGCCCACCAUAGCCAUUUUGACACACCACAUCGGGAUCAAGAAUCCCUCCAAACGCCGUUCGACGAGGAUCUAUAGAGCACAGACUACUGAGUCCAGAUACAUGAUAACUUACCACCGUUUCGAAUAUGCAGGUCACUCCAGAAACGGGUUUGGUAAGCAUUCCAUUGACCAAUUCCCUAGCCUCACUCUCUCCACCGUAAGCUGCUUGCAGGCACAAAUGAAGAAAUCGGAAGCAACGCAACACCACGUGGAAGCCAGUGGUAAAAGUGAGCUUUUUUCUAGGGUCGAGAUAUGGGAAGCACUCUGGAAUUUAAGCUAUGAACAGGGUCAGGUUCUCACAUCUCUAAUUGGAAUGCCUAUGGUUUUGAGGUAAAAAAGGCAUCAAUUAUUAUUUGCCUAGCAUUCGCAGCAAAUCACAUGCCAAGCGUAUCCAUUUUAAAUUCAAAUUCCGCCACAGGACAAAACUGCACUUCUUUCUAUUACGAAAAUUGCAUACAUAAUGAUUAUCACAUGCAGACAUUCUAAAAGAAAGAAUCUGAUCAGACUAGCUUAAUCAGUAGUGAAGCCUCAUUCACACAGCAUAUGGCAGCAUGAAUUGUUACCGAGAGAUGAUGAAAGGUUAAACUGCGAUUCUUAUUAAUUUCCUAGCGGUACAUUCACUUUAGCAAACUUCUGAGUAAAUGGGCACGACAAAUGCCAUAAGCAUAAGAAAAAUCCCAUUCGAUCAUCAAAGGCUUUAAAUACAACAAAUUAAAAAGGUUUCAAAACAGCACAAAUGAGGAUAGGAAACUCUAAAGUUCAUGGUAAAUCCAUAUUAGCUGAACCAACCAAUCCCCCAGCAGAUUCAGCCUCCCUGCGCUCACGAAAACAUGACCCCGACUUUCUUUGCGAAGUCAUCUCCGUCUUCAUCAUCCAGAUAUUCCUCCUCUUCCCCAUCCCCUUCAGCAUUUUCACCUUCUUCAUAGUUGUAGUCUCCUUCGUCACCUUGUUCAUAAUAGUCCCCGUCCCUUUGAUCAUCAGCUCCGAGCUCAGGGUCUUCCGUUGCAUCUUCGACGAUCAUUCCGUCUUCAUUCUCAAUCUCUCCAUGAACAGCACUGCUGGCUCCUUCAGUGUGAUCUUUGUUACUACCAACAGCAUCAGCUGUGCCAGAUUUGGAUUUAUAGCUGUCUUCCUCUUCCUUGGGAUGAAUUGUGAGAUCGCCAUGCUUCUGGGAGUUCACCUCGUGACUAUGCUCUUCCUUGCUUGCAGAUGAUCUGGACCCAGAACCUGUACCUUCAGGUUCUCUCUUCCUCUUCAAAAGCACACUAAGGGGCUUUGGCCCCUCGAAAGAGACAUCUCCCAAUGGUUGGUCCAGCGAACAAUUCUGCUGCUUUCCCAUGGAAGGUGAUGAUUCUUGACCACGUCCCAGGCCUUUCAACUCUGCAAGACUUUUCGGACCCACAAAAUUGAUACUCUUUUCAUCUACUGAUUCCCUUCUCAUCCGAGGGCCUUGAAAAUUCCUUGCCUCCACGUUGUAAUCAUCCUGUGCCCUGCCCUUUAGUCUAUCUCUAAGCCUAUUAACACCUUGAUAUGAUCUCCCCGGGUUCCUUCCUGUCUCCGUCUCCCUAUCUGAGUUGACAUCCCCCCCAUUGAGUCUCCCCGGAAACUUUAUCCUACCCUUAAGACGGCUGCUACCUUGGCCCUCAUGCGAAGAUGAGUGCUGUGAAUCCCUCCGAGAAGACCCGCGAUAAGUUCUAUCAGCAACAUGGCUGUCAGGGACAACAACUGACCUCAAACCAUUGACCCUCCUGUGCUUUGACAAUCGGUGACGCAGAUCAGAAUCAUCUGCAUGCUCAGGGCUGUCGCUCUUUGGGUAUGCCCUCCUAUCUCGAAGAAUGGGCCCACCAAGAAUAAGAUCAGAUGAAUCCUGCCGCUGAUCCCAACCGUACCUGCGAUCAAAAGAGUCAUAUGCACGUGGAUCACGGAACAUCUCAUGCUCAAUAUCCGCACUAUAAUCUCCAGGGCGAUCCAAGUCAUAAUCAGUCACAGAGCCUAUGUUCCGUCCUUCAUGGGUUCUUCCUCUUCCAAAUUGAUCAUCAUUGUGAUAAUAAUCAGACUCUCCGAGCUCAUCAUCCACAAGAACAUCAAAACCAGGAGAGGACUCCCUGAGAUAUUCAUCAGCCUCCUUGUCUUUGUGUGAGCUAUGGUAGUCGUCUGCAACAACAGGCUGAUGCAAUCGACUAGUCCUGUUCUGCAAGUUUCCAUUUACAGUAGGGGUGCUUGAAGGCCUAUAUCUAGAGGCACCUUCAUCGAUGAUUCUGGGGGGAGGCAGUGAUGGUGGUGCACUUUUUUCUAUGCUUACCUCAUUUCUCGGUAUAGCAUUUUCAACUUUUGGAAAGGGCUUUAACUCAGAUGGUCGAGAUGUUAGUUUAGAGGCGUUUGGUGGGACCUUCUGCCCUUGAGAACAUUUCUCUAGGCUGCCAAAAGGUUUCUUUACCGUAGAAGAAUCAUUAACAGGCGAUGAUGCCGGUGCCUGCUGCACUUUGCUAACCACAGUGUUUGUUCCAUGCAGGAAGGCACAUCUGUCGCCUUUCAAGCAAAUUCCCUUCUGGAAAAAUACACAGGGUACUGGUUGUUUUCCAGAAUUGUAAGAAGCCUGUGCCACAGGUGGCAUUGCGGGUGGCAUUGCCGGUGGCAUUGCUGGUGGCUGCACUGGCAAAGAAGAUCCACCCGGCACUGCAGCUGGCGCUCCCAAUAAGCCAUCAAGGGGCUAAAAAAAAAAUUGUACACAGCAUUAAUAUCACAAGUAACAUUCUAAAUAGUUAAAGACUACUGUAUUUAGAGACUGAGAAACAGUAACUUGAAAGAGAAAUCUAAGACUUUAAAAAACAGCACAAAUCGGGCAAGGAAGGAAAACUUACAGGAUGACGGAAAGCACACUUUGGAUUCAAGCAACUGCCAUUCAACCAAUACCAGCAAUCUCUGGGAUUAACCCUGGCAUAUUCACUGUGGCGGUACUCACAUUCACUUCCCUUUAACAAGGACAAUCAGCCAAUAAAUAUACAAGUAACUCACAUAAAUACACAAUCGAUAAGAGGAAGCCACUAAUUACAGUAUAUCAUUAAUUACGUUCAAGCAAGACGCACAACCCCUUUGCAAACUCGGGUAAGCCUUGCUAAGCUUCUAGUCACAAGAGCAAUUGCAAUCAGCAACACUAGAGUAUGACGAACAAUAUGUGCGGCAAGGAAGAUUCAAAAGUGGAAAACCUAUUGAGGGAUGGAUCAGGGAUUAUUUCCUCCCGAAAUUCAUAUCUAACAACUAUUAAUUGUCGGUUGAGACAACUGCCAUUUGUCGAAUCGCAUAUGAGACGUACGAGUACAACAGAUAUACCACAGGCAGCAACAGAAUCAUAACUGAUAGGGGAAAAUAUCACACUGGCACGUGCUUGCCGCUCUCUUAACGUUACGACUAGGAACUUCCAAAUCAUGCAUGUCCAAAAGAAAUAUUCUCCUCCACAUUAGGCAAACAGCACCAUCUCGCCCAUGCUUCUCCAGGCCUAAACACGUUAAGACUACGGAAGGCAGCUGAGACUCGAGCUCAUUCCGCCAUUACAAGAACCUUUAUUAUCUAGUCCGAUCAAAAAACACUGAACCGAAACAGAUAAACGACGAACUCACCCACAGAACAAGCAAAGUCGGCAUCUUUAUGACCAAAACCCAUUACCCAUUACCCAAAACCCCGCGUAGAGAUAAUUCCCCUAUUUUUUCAAGAAAACGAAGCACCAAAGGUUUCACUCGAGCUCACCCAAGAGGUGCUCAGGCGAACAAAACCCGACGGAACCCAAUUCAACAACCAGAAACCCUAACAAGAUCCCAAUUCAUAAACCGCCGCCCGCAAGGGUUUCAGGCGACCACACCCUACCCCUAACUCCGGGAGACGAGAGAUGAAAGAGACCAAAGAACCACGACCCCCGGAGCUGGAAAAGGGCGUAAUCUUUUUGCACCCGAACCCUAACGAGAUAAAUCAGAAAAAGAAAUCGAUAGAGAGAGACAGAGAGGGGGGACACGCACAGAAAAAAAGGGCAAACCUUUUUGCAGGUCAAAGGAGAGGCGAGGAAAUAGACGCAAUCGGUGUUCCGCUUGAGGGCCUCCUCCUCGGCGGAGGCGGCGGAGGCAUGGGAGGGCUGGUUCGUCGCGUCGCGCGUACCAGGGACCAUGGCGGUCUCUCGACCCGAAAAAAAAAGGGACCCCACCACCCCCCGCGAGCGCAGAAGAAUCGAUCGAGAACGAUCCCCCUCACCGUCCCAGAUCCGACUGAACCAACAGAUAUGGAGAGAGAGAGAGAGAGAGAGAGAGAGAGAGAGGGGGAGAGAGAUCUAAUCUGACAGAAGAAGAGGGGAGGGGGGGAAUGGGCAGAGCCGCCUCGAAGAGAGAGAGCGAGAAAGAGAGAGGGGCGAGGGAUAGAGGAGAGGGAGAGGGAGGGAGAGCGAGAGAGAGAGAGAGAGAGAGAGACGGAGAGAGACGGGGAGAGGGAGCGACAGAGCGAUGAACGAGUGUGUGAGAAUCC